UACGGAGGGGGUUAGCGUUGUUCGGAAUGACUGGGCGUAAAGCGCGCGUAGGCGGCUAUUUAAGUCAGGGGUGAAAGCCCGGAGCUCAACUCCGGAACUGCCUUUGAGACUGGAUAGCUAGAAUCUUGGAGAGGCGAGUGGAAUUCCGAGUGUAGAGGUGAAAUUCGUAGAUAUUCGGAAGAACACCAGUGGCGAAGGCGGCUCGCUGGACAAGUAUUGACGCUGAGGUGCGAAAGCGUGGGGAGCAAACAGG
rnacentral:rRNA from 1 species